rnacentral:rRNA from 1 species
AUAACUGAUGGAAACGUCAGCUAAGACCGCAUAGGUGUAGAGAUCGCAUGAACUCUAUAUGAAAAGUGCUACGGGACUGGUAGAUGAUGGACUUAUGGCGCAUUAGCUGGUUGGUAGGGUAACGGCCUACCAAGGCGACGAUGCGUAGCCGACCUGAGAGGGUGACCGGCCACACUGGGACUGAGACACGGCCCAGACUCCUACGGGAGGCAGCAGUAGGGAAUUUUCGGCAAUGGGGGAAACCCUGACCGAGCAACGCCGCGUGAAGGAAGAAGUAAUUCGUUAUGUAAACUUCUGUCAUAGAGGAAGAACGGUGGAUAUAGGGAAUGAUAUCCAAGUGACGGUACUCUAUAAGAAAGCCACGGCUAACUACGUGCCAGCAGCCGCGGUAAUACGUAGGUGGCGAGCGUUAUCCGGAAUUAUUGGGCGUAAAGAGGGAGCAGGCGGCACUAAGGGUCUGUGGUGAAAGAUCGAAGCUUAACUUCGGUAAGCCAUGGAAACCGUAGAGCUAGAGUGUGUGAGAGGAUCGUGGAAUUCCAUGUGUAGCGGUGAAAUGCGUAGAUAUAUGGAGGAACACCAGUGGCGAAGGCGACGAUCUGGCGCAUAACUGACGCUCAGUCCCGAAAGCGUGGGGAGCAAAUAGGAUUAGAUACCCUAGUAGUCCACGCCGUAAAC